rnacentral:rRNA from 1 species
GACGAACGCUGGCGGCGUGCUUAACACAUGCAAGUCGAGCGGAAAGGCCCUUCGGGGUACUCGAGCGGCGAACGGGUGAGUAACACGUGGGUAACCUGCCCUUCACUCUGGGAUAACUCCGGGAAACCGGGGGCUAAUACCGGAUACGACCACUUUAGGCAUCUUCGGUGGUGGAAAGUUUUUCGGUGGAGGAUGGACCCGCGGCCUAUCAGCUUGUUGGUGGGGUAAUGGCCUACCAAGGCAGUGACGGGUAGCCGGCCUGAGAGGGCGACCGGCCACACUGGGACUGAGACACGGCCCAGACUCCUACGGGGAGGCAGCAGUGGGGAAUAUUGCGCAAUGGGCGGAAGCCUGACGCAGCGACGCCGCGUGAGGGAUGACGGCCU